GACGAACGCGGCGGCGUGCUUAACACAUGCAAGUCGAACGGGUCUGCCUUGUUUUUUGCGGGGUGGGUCAGUGGCGAACGGGUGAGUAACACGUGAGUAACCUGCCCCUCACUUCUGGAUAACCGCUUGAAAGGGUGGCUAAUACGGGGUGUUCUGGCUGUGCCGCAUGGUGUGGCUGGGAAAGAUUCACUUUUGUGGUGUUUUGGUGGGGGAUGGGCUCGCGGCCUAUCAGCUUGUUGGUGGGGUGAUGGCCUGCCAAGGCUUUGACGGGUAGCCGGCCUGAGAGGGUGGGCGGUCACACUGGGACUGAGAUACGGCCCAGACUCCUGCGGGAGGCAGCAGUGGGGGGUAUUGCACAAUGGGCGGAAGCCUGAUGCAGCGACGUCGCGUGAGGGAUGGAGGCCUUCGGGUUGUGAACCUCUUUCGCCGGUGAAGAAGGUCCUGUUCUUUGUGGUGGGGCUGACGUAGCCGG
rnacentral:rRNA from 1 species